AGAUGUUUUGGGACUACUGCUCCCACCAUCCCUGACCAGUCCUGUUAGCUAGGGAUGAUGGGAGUUGUAGUCCCAAAACAUCU